UACAGAGGGUGCGAGCGUUAAUCGGAAUUACUGGGCGUAAAGCGCGUGUAGGCAGCUCGGAAAGUCGGGUGUGAAAGCCCUGGGCUUAACCUAGGAAGUGCACUCGAAACUUCCGAGCUUGAGUUCUGGAGAGGAAGGCGGAAUUCUCGGUGUAGAGGUGAAAUUCGUAGAUAUCGAGAGGAACACCGGUGGCGAAGGCGGCCUUCUGGACAGUGACUGACGCUGAGACGCGAAAGCGUGGGGAGCAAACAGG
rnacentral:rRNA from 1 species